CGCCAGACUCCUACGGGAGGCAGCAGUGGGGAAUAUUGCACAAUGGGGGAAACCCUGAUGCAGCGACGCCGCGUGAGUGAAGAAGUAUUUCGGUAUGUAAAGCUCUAUCAGCAGGGAAGAAAAUGACGGUACCUGACUAAGAAGCCCCGGCUAACUACGUGCCAGCAGCCGCGGUAAUACGUAGGGGGCAAGCGUUAUCCGGAUUUACUGGGUGUAAAGGGAGCGUAGACGGCAUGGCAAGUCAGAUGUGAAAGCCCGGGGCUCAACCCCGGGACUGCAUUUGAAACUGUCAGGCUGGAGUGCAGGAGAGGUAAGUGGAAUUCCUAGUGUAGCGGUGAAAUGCGUAGAUAUUAGGAGGAACACCAGUGGCGAAGGCGGCUUACUGGACUGUAACUGACGUUGAGGCUCGAAAGCGUGGGGAGCAAACAGGAUUAGAUACCCCCGUAGG
rnacentral:rRNA from 1 species